UGGGGAAUAUUGCACAAUGGGCGAAAGCCUGAUGCAGCAACGCCGCGUGAGCGAUGAAGGCCUUUGGGUCGUAAAGCUCUGUCCUUGGGGAAGAAACAAAUGACGGUACCCAAGGAGGAAGCCCCGGCUAACUACGUGCCAGCAGCCGCGGUAAUACGUAGGGGGCAAGCGUUAUCCGGAAUUAUUGGGCGUAAAGAGUACGUAGGUGGUCUUUUAAGCGCAGGGUUUAAGGCAAUGGCUUAACCAUUGUUCGCCCUGGGAACUGGAAGACUUGAGUGUAGGAGGGGAAAGGGGAAUUCGUGGUGGAGCGGUGAAAUGCGUAGAUAGUAGGAGGAACAUCAGUGGCGAAGGCGCUUUUCUGGACUAUUACUGACACUGAGGUACGAAAGCGUGGGGAGAAAACA
rnacentral:rRNA from 1 species